UUUGAUAUCACAUUUAUUUGUUUUUUGAUGCGAAUCUCCGGUUGUUUUUUUUUGUGUUGAGAGACAUCGUGUGAAGAACGGCGAGCCAGGAUCCAAAAGAGCAGAUUGAGAUUGUGUCCACUACGACGUCAAAGAAGAACCUUCUUCUGUUCCACUUGAUCGGUGGGAUUGCACAUAUUAACACUACCCGGGUAGCUACCACAUAACAUUCAGAUCUGAAAACCGAAUUGAACUGAAAAAAAAAAAAAGAAAGGAAAAACUUUUGAACUCGACUGACUUGACUAAGGACUACCAAAAGGAAACAUUGACUAUUUUGUACUGUUUCAUUAUUGUCAAAAUGUGUAAUAAAUGUGUUUUGUUCAACA